AUUGAACGCUGGCGGCAGGCCUAACACAUGCAAGUCGAACGAGUGGCGGACGUGUGUGUAAUGUCUGGGAAACUGCCUGCUGGAGGGGGAUAACUCCUGGAAACGGUCGCUAAUACCGCAUACCUUCCGCUCUUCCCAGAUGUGAUUUGCUAGUAGGUAGGGUAAAGGCUCACCUAGGCGACGAUCCGUAGCUGGUCUGAGAGGAUGACCGGCCACACUGGAACUGAGCCACGGUCCAGACUCCUCCGGGAGGCAGCAGUGGGGAAUAUUGCACAAUGGGCGCAAGCCUGAUGCAGCAAUGCCGCGUGUAUGAUGAAGGCCUUCGGGUUGUAAAGUACUUUCAUCGGGGAGGCGUUACCCGAAGAAGAAGCACCGGCUAACUCCGUGCCAGCAGCCGCGGUAAUAA
rnacentral:rRNA from 1 species